GCGUGAAAAGGGAGAAGAGCCCAGGGCCGUGGGGCGGGGUGAUUUGGCCAAGUGGUCCUGGCCUUAGAAAUCUUCACUGGUGCCCAGUGAAGCUUUGCUGAAUACCCAUAAUCCUGUUCUCCGUCACCAAAGGAACACUGGCCUCCCUGACCUGUUCUCCAGGGCACGUAGCA
rnacentral:lncRNA from 1 species